rnacentral:snoRNA from 1 species
GCCCCUCUGUCAUCAUGGCCUGCUGGGUCAUCCAUACUCAUGCCAGGUGUUUGAACAAGGAGGGAGAGCACGGCAGAGGAAGUACCCAUUCCACCCCUAGCUCUCCCUGUAGCCAGGAGGUGGAAGUUAACCUGCUACAACG